rnacentral:rRNA from 1 species
UACGUAGGGAGCAAGCGUUGUUCGGAUUUACUGGGCGUAAAGGGCGCGUAGGCGGCAAUUCAAGUCACUUGUGAAAUCUCCGGGCUUAACUCGGAACGGUCAAGUGAUACUGCUUUGCUAGAGUGCGGAAGGGGCAAUCGGAAUUCUCGGUGUAGCGGUGAAAUGCGUAGAUAUCUGGAGGAAUACCGGUGGCGAAGGCGGCAUCCUGGACCGGCAUUGACGCUGAGGAGCGAAAGCUAGGGGAGCAAACGGG